GGUUUUUACAAUAUUUUACAAUGGAAUGAUACUGAAUCAUGUGUCAAAUUGAUGGACAGUUGUUAUUUGAGCUAUAUAAGGGUAAUACGCUGGGUACUGUGGUGGAGCAUUUACAGUAUUUCUGAAAUAUCUCAUGAAUGUUUAUUCUGUUUUUGAAUCAGCAGCUUAUAAAGAUGAACUGAAUUACAAAAUAGGGUGGGAAUGAUGACUAACUGAUCUUCUCGGCCAUUUACAUGUACCCACCCAUAACUUUUGAAAGGGAAAACAGAGAGCACUAAGUAUAUAAAUCAAUGUCUGCCUUCUUAAUUCUAAAUGCCCCGAUCAUUAUUUCAGAAUUUCAGAUAAAAAAAACCACAAUUACUGGUAAAGGCAAAAUUUGUAUUUAUUUUAAAACCAAUCAACCGCCAGCUGAAGGUCUAUUCUUUUGACCUUUUGACCUUGCUUGAAACAAAGCCUUCUCAGCUCUAUUACUAAAUCAAAAUGGCCAAUUUAAAAAAAACACAGUGGUAACUACAUUUCUACUAAGUCACUGGGUAUUGACUGGGUAUUGACUUAUCCCUUUAGUCCCAUUCAGAUUACAUUGUUAAAACAAAUACGACAAUGUUUAAGGUAUUUUUUUACAAAUCUACACUACAAUGAUUAACCUAUUCACUGAAGGAUCUAUUUUAUUUGAUGAUUUUGGUAUGGUAACUAGAAAGACAUACCAUAGGAGCAAGGGAGCUGUCAAAGUCAUCAGAUAUAAUGCUAGAGAGGUGAUAAACCCCGUACUGAUCUGUCCAAACAUUUGUGGAAUUCCGUCACACCAUAUUUGUGGUUUCUGGUGCAUUUCCACUACAUGUUGAAUGAAGAGGUAAUCUGUUUUUGUUACUGCAAAAGGGUACGUAAACAUUGUCAUUAUUGGAAGUUUUUGAAUCGCUGAUCUGGGCCAGUUUUUGUGUUUGGUGAGGUUUUAUAAGCAGAUUAGUGUCAAUUUGUUGCCUUAGGCUAAAUAAUCAUCUUUUUUUUUCUUUGGACAGACAGGUAUGAAUUUAUUUUUCUUUUUACCUGUGAAAAAACCCAGUCUGUUUUCUCUUUAGAAAAAAACUGCAAUAUAAUUGUAUAUCAAGAGAAGUGUUCACAGCUUCAGGAAAAGUUAUCAUUACUUAACAAAGAACAGUUUAGGAAAUGUGUCAAAUCGAUGGAAGAAAUUCAGUGCUUUUCCAUUUCAGUAUUAAAUCAAAGAUUAGUUUUGGUCCUCCUAUUUUUCAGUGCAAAUACAUUUUUACAGGCUAUUUAUGAGUAUUGAUAACAAAUGGCAUUGAUUGUCAUUUAUAAGGGUAACAGUUGGAGUAAAUUUGGGCAUUUUAUGUUUAAUAUUAGAAUACCGUCUUGCCCCAAGUCCCAAGAAAAGGACUAAGCGGGGAAAAUAAAAGAAUUGAAGCAG
rnacentral:misc_RNA from 1 species